rnacentral:rRNA from 1 species
GACGAACCGUGCGAACGUUGUUCGGAAUCACUGGGCUUAAAGGGCGCGUAGGCGGGCUGACAAGUCUGGGGUGAAAUGCCGCGGCUCAACCGUGGAACUGCCUCAGAUACUGUCGGCCUCGAGGAAGGUAGGGGCAUGCGGAACUGUAGGUGGAGCGGUGAAAUGCGUUGAUAUCUACAGGAACUCCGGUGGCGAAAGCGGCGUGCUGGACCUUUUCUGACGCUGAGGCGCGAAAGCUAGGGGAGCAAACGGG